UUAAAUGGCCAUAUCACCCUGCAGCCCAACACCGGUUACUUACUGAAGCUAAGCAUAUCUGAGCCUGGUCCGUAGCUGGAUGGAAGACCACAUGGGAAAACUAGGUUGCUGUUGGAA
ensembl:rRNA 5S_rRNA 5S ribosomal RNA